rnacentral:miRNA from 1 species
AGUCAUACGCCUUAUCCAUACC